GACGAACCGAGCGAACGUUGUUCGGAAUCACUGGGCUUAAAGGGCGCGUAGGCGGUCGAUCAAGUCAGGGGUGAAAUCCUGCAGCUUAACUGUAGAAGUGCCUUUGAUACUGGUCGUCUCGAGGGAGGUAGGGGUGUGUGGAACUUCCAGUGGAGCGGUGAAAUGCGUUGAUAUUGGAAGGAACGCCGGAGGCGAAAGCGACGCACUGGACCUCUUCUGACGCUGAGGCGCGAAAGCUAGGGGAGCAAACGGG
rnacentral:rRNA from 1 species